AUUUAUAUAGUUUAAUAAAAACCUUACAUUUUCACUGUAAAAAUAAUAAUUUAAUUAUUUAUAAAUA
rnacentral:tRNA from 1 species